rnacentral:rRNA from 1 species
AACGAACGCUGGCGGCAUGCCUAACACAUGCAAGUCGAACGAGACCUUCGGGCCUAGUGGCGCACGGGUGCGUAACGCGUGGGAACCUGCCCUUAGGUUCGGAAUAACUCCCCGAAAGGGGUGCUAAUACCGGAUAAUGUCUUCGGACCAAAGAUUUAUCGCCUUUGGAUGGGCCCGCGUUGGAUUAGCUAGUUGGUAGGGUAAAAGCCUACCAAGGCGACGAUCCAUAGCUGGUCUGAGAGGAUGAUCAGCCACACUGGGACUGAGACACGGCCCAGACUCCGACGGGAGGCAGCAGUAGGGAAUAUUGGACAAUGGGCGAAAGCCUAAUCCAGCAAUGCCGCGUGAGUGAUGAAGGCCUUAGGGUUGUAAAGCUCUUUUACCCGGGAUGAUAAUGACAGUACCGGGAGAAUAAGCUCCGGCUAACUCCGUG